rnacentral:tRNA from 1 species
UCCCGGUUGGUGUAAUGGUAACACUCCUGACUCUGAAUCAGGCACUCGUGGUUCGAAUCCAUGACCGGGAGCCA